rnacentral:rRNA from 1 species
AUACGGAAGGUCCGGGCGUUAUCCGGAUUUAUUGGGUUUAAAGGGAGCGCAGGCGGCUGUUUAAGCGUGCCGUGAAAUGCCGUGGCUCAACCAUGGCACUGCGGCGCGAACUGGGCGGCUUGAGUCGGCGGAAGGUGCGCGGAAUUCGUGGUGUAGCGGUGAAAUGCUUAGAUAUCACGAGGAACUCCGAUUGCGAAGGCAGCGCGCCGCAGCUGUACUGACGAGCAUGCUCGAAAGCGCGGGUAUCGAACAGGAUUAGAUACCCUGGUAGUCCGCGCGGUAAACGAUGGACGCCCGCUGUGUGCCAUUGCGGUACGCGGCCAAGCGAAAGCGUUAAGCGUCCCACCUGGGGAGUACGCCGGCAACGGUGAAACUCAAAUGAAUUGGCGGGG